CAUUCACGGCCGUCCUCAGGCUACGCGUAAGCGUGCCGCCUGGGAGUACGCCGGCAAGCUAAACUCAAAGAAAUUGACGGGGCCCGCACAAGCAGAGGAGCAUGUGGCUUAUUCGAUGCACGCGAAGAACCUACCUGGGCUUGACAUGGAGCUGCACGUCCCAUGAAAGUGGGAUUCCUUCGAGGUGCUUCACAGUGCUGCAUGGCUGUCGUCAGUUCGUGCCGUGAGGUGUUUGGUUAAGUCCACCAACGAACGCAACCCCUUUGGGAUGUUGCCAGCGGGUAAUGCCGGGAACUCGUCCCAGACUGCUUGUUCACGCAAGAGGAAGGUGGGGAUGACGUCAAGUCAGUAUGGCCCUUACGCCCAGGGCUGCACACGUGCUACAAUGGCCGGUACAGAGGGAAGCGAGACCGCAAGGUGGAGCCAACCCCAGAGAGCCGGCCCCAGUUCAGAUCGGGGUCUGCAACCCGACCCCGUGAAGUCGGAUUUGCUAGUAACGGCGUAUCAGCUACGACGCCGUGAAUGCGUUCCUGGGCCUUGUACACACCGCCCGUCACAUCAUGAGAGCCGGGAACACCCGAAGUCCGUAGUCUAACCGCAAGGAGGACGCGGCCGAAGGUGGGUUUGGUAAUUGGGGUG
rnacentral:rRNA from 1 species